CCCUACGGGGCGCGGUUGGUAUAGAUUCUGCCGGCCGCAUCCACGCUCUGCGAAAACUCCCGGCUGGAGGGCGGCCCGCUGUAGAGGUUGCCAUUGCUGUGGACCUUCCCCGUCACCUUCAUCGGGGCGCCCGGAUUGAUCUCCAGGUCCAGGGUGUAGAAGAUGGCGAACUGGAAGAUCGGGAUACAGGCAAGUUGAAAGUUCUGCUCGACGGCAGCCGCCAUGUUAUGGCGGGUUCCGAGGGGUUUCGCAUUGCCGCGCACCGCACAAAUGUAGGCCAGGCCAUAUAGGCCUUCAAACUGGGAGUCGAGGUUGGUCAUCACCAUGCCCGAGGAGCUGGAAUCCCAGGUACUGUUCAGCGUGCCGGCACCAUCGGUGAACUGAUACUCGGAGGCCCAGCCCGUGGUCGGAAUGCGACUGCCGUAGUGAGUGAGGUUGGCGGGGGGGC
rnacentral:rRNA from 1 species